rnacentral:rRNA from 1 species
ACGGCCAUACCACCCUUAAAACAACGGUUCUCGUCCUAUCACCGAAGUUAAGCAACGUCGGGUCCGGUCAGUACUUGGGAGGGUGAUCACUUGGGAACACCGGGUGCUGUAUUCU